CCCUCGUGGAAGUGCUGCCUCCGAAUGAGUCAAGGGAGGGCGUGGCGGGCUCAGAGACAAGGCUACCCACCGACCCGGCACCAGUGACCCAGGUCGGACAGCCAUCACCACGGCGUAAGGCGGCAGCCACCCCUCCCGAUCACCCUGGGCAGUGUGGACUUGGCAGGGGACCAGGCCCUGGGGGGUUGGGUCUCCUCGCUUAGCAAGGACUGAUGAGAAGACGGGGCGCAGCAAUGGACGCCGAGUCAGUGACUCUGAAUCUAACAACCCACUCCCGUCUCAGCAGCCCACAGUCCCACAGGCCACGCUGAGGAACCAGGAAGGUGAACAUGCCCGGGGUCCAGCCAUGGGAGCACCGGGGUCAGCAGGAGGGAGCUCACAGAGGGCAGAAUCCAGGAUGUUCCGAGAGACUGGGGACUUGCCAUCUUGACACCCAGGACAUGUGGGCUCCAGGAGCCAUGCUGGCUAGGGACCCUGUCUGGGCCGUGUUCUGAGUUUAGAUGAGGAAACAGGAGCAACUGAAGCCAGGCCUGCAGAGGCCCAGCUGGUGCUACUGGAUCUCGUCAACAGCCUCAGUGAACACCCAUGAGCCUGCUGUGAGAGCUCUGGAGGUCAGAAGUCCUCACAUCAGAGUGUCCUUAUGCCUGCAUUCCUUCAGGAGGAUCUAGGAAAGAAUCAUUUUCUUGCCUUCUUCAGCUUCUAGAAGCAGCCAGCUUUCCUUGGCUCUUGAACUCAUCCAACACCUGGGGCGUAGCAGCUCUUAACCUCCCUCAUCUCUGCUCUGGUGUGUCCCCUCUUCCCACGGACUCUCCUGUCUUCUGCUUGAAGAAGCCUUCUGACUACUUUGGUCCCACUGGGAUAUCCAGGCCCAUCUCAAGAUCUUUAACUCAGCACAUCUGCCAAGUCCCGUUUGCCAUGUGAGGAAAUGUAGUCACAGGUUCUGGGCACUAGGACCCAUACAUUUUAGGCAGGCGGUAAACACUGUUUUGCCUACCAUGCUCAGAAAUGAAAGAACUUACCCAAGGUCUGAAGAGUUUGGUGAAGGUCAGAACUCAGGCUGCGGGGCCCCAGUUCUAUGUCCAAACCUAAGCCAGUCUCCUUAAAGAUUCUGUGCUGACUGGUCCAUUACACCUGGUUUGCUUUUCAUGCCAGUUCCACCACCUAGUAAAGGGGUGACCUUGGACAUGUAGCUUAAUGUCUCAGCACCUCAGUCUUCCUAUCUGUGAAAUGGGAUGAUGAGGAGAGCCACCACGAAGGCUCACUGAUUUUGCAAUAAGCCUGUGUCCUGACUGCACUGUCCCAGUCCUGGCAGUGAUCCCAGCUGCCCCACCCUCUACUCAUCCUAUUUAGAAAUGCAUGGAGUGAGGGCCAGAAGAGGGAAGGAGGAAUGCAUGCACCCAGCAGGACUGGUAACCAAAGAAGUGCCCUUGACCCCUGGAGCCCUUCUCCUGCCCCUCCCCAGAGCAGUGGGGUGGCCACUUUCUUGGCAUCUCCCCAGGGAAGGAAGCCUUUGAUACCUAACUGGGUCUCAGAAAGGGAACAAAGGGAUGCUUUUUGCAUGAAAAGCCACCUGCUGGCGCAGGGAAGAAACCCUGAUUCAUAGAGCUGGAUGUUUCAUGACUGCAGACUCAGGAAAGAAGCCCACCGGUCCGCCAGGAAAGAAGCCCACCGGUCCGCCAGCCUGGGUGGGUUGCCCACACAGAGGCACCAGAGAUUCGCUAAGUGUCCCACAGCUGGGAGGGAGGGUGACUUCAGAGGAGCUGCCAAGUUCUCUCCAAACAGAAGUUUAGGAUGGGGUAAGGAGAGGUUCCCAGGAGACUGAGAAGGCUUCCAGUGCAGGCGGUGGAGCCAGGCCUCCAAGGACCAUUCCUGUUGGAGAAAGAAAAGACGCUGUCCUGCCCAUCUCCAGGCCACAGCCCCACAGCAGGGAACUCCAUGACUGAAAAGAUAUCAGGGCCUCCCAGGCCACUGUCCUGAGGCUGCCUCCUCACUGUCUUGUGACCAAAAGUACUGAGUAUUUCCUUAGUUCAUGGUGCGAUGCUGGCCCUUAAAAGGCUAAUCAGGACCUUUAAUUAUGCAAGCAUGGUCAGAAAAAGUCAUGUGACUGCUUUCAUUUUCAUUGAGGGGCAGGGAAGAAUAUAUCUGAAUAAUUUUUACUUAUUGUUUGA